ACUAUUAUAACUAGCAGACAUCCCAUGUAAAUGAACUGUAAAUAACAGUUCAAUUGAAAGGAAAGAAAUUUGAGUUAUUUGGCAAUGGCGAAAAAUUCUCUUCCUUGCAUCAUCCUGAUCAUAGUUUUUACAAUCUAUGUUGGUCAUUCAAUUUCAAUAACAGAGGCUUAUUCUGGUGAUCAUGAAAUGGGUUUUGGGUGGGAAUCGACUUCGACAUCGAGUACUUGAAAUGGAUUCCGAGAUUAGUAGGCGAAUUUUAGCAACAACCAAGUAUGUUAGCUACGAGGCACUAAAGAAAAAUACUACGCCAUGCUCUAAGAAAGGUGCUUCUUACUAUAAUUGCAAAUUCAUACAAUCGUGGUUGCAGCAAGCUUUCUAAAUGCAAGAGUUGAUGAUACUUGAUCUCCUCGGUUGCUAAAUAAUACUACUUCCUCUAGAGCUGGCAAACGGGCGGGUCGGUGCUGGCUUGUGAUCAAUUUGCGGGUUACGAGUUAAUACAAGCCUAAGUUUACGGGUUAAAAUUCUUCACGAGUGGCUCCCAUACCUCUUUGUCAGAACGAAGACAACAAACACACUACACACAUAGAGAGAG